AAAAUAACCACUGAAAAGAUUAUUAGCCAUUCUUUUAUAACGUCUGAACCCAAAUCAAAUUUUUUUUUUCAAAAAUCUUCGCUCAGGCGAUUUUCUAGAAAUUUUUAAAAAAACGAUCGCGCUGUAUAUUAUGUGCGGUGCCCCGACGACGACUUUGCCAUUCAUUUAGUAUGCGGUUUUUGUGUAUUGUCCGUAUAUUUCGCAAUGGCCGACGUUUCAUCUGUAACGGUCCACCGGACGUCUUCGGUUCGUAGGUCCGCCACGCGGCGUUCGAUAUAACAAAUGAACGAUCGAUAGGAAGAAAUACACAACAGUACACAAAGCAGCGCAUCACGAGUCCAUGGAUAUGAUAAAAACAAUAUUAAUAAUAUUACACGGUAUAUGAUACGCUCAACGUGAUAAAUUAAAUAUGGUUAAAACCGAGGAAAAUUAUAUCGUUAUUAUCGUAUUGUAUACAAAAAAAAAAAAAAAAAAAAAAAAAACUGUUAUCUAUAACGCUUAAUAUCGAAUAUCUAAAUUUGCGUUUGAUCACAACACCGACGAAUAGGAAAAUCAGUGAAAUAUUGUUACCGUGCAUAUAUAUAUAUAUAUAACAUAAUAUUUAAUUUCGAAACUAUUUGUUUGUAUUUUAUUAGUUCUUAAUUUGGUAUUUAUUUACGUUUUUGUUGUAUUGUAUUUGCAUUCCCGAC